AGUUGGAAGGUUUGGUCUCAGCAGUUCAGACCUUGCCAGAUCUAACUCUUCCAGCUCA
rnacentral:pre_miRNA from 1 species